rnacentral:rRNA from 1 species
ACGCGGUACGGUACNCGUACCUACACGGAGGGUAACACCUGGAAACAGGUGCUAAUACCGCAUAAGCGCACAGGGCCGCAUGGCCCGGUGUGAAAAACUCCGGUGGUGUAAGAUGGACCCGCGUCUGAUUAGCUUGUUGGCGGGGUAGGGGCCCACCAAGGCGACGAUCAGUAGCCGGCCUGAGAGGGUGGACGGCCACAUUGGGACUGAGACACGGCCCAAACUCCUACGGAAGGCAGCAG